rnacentral:misc_RNA from 1 species
UUACUGUAAAAAUUCUGUGACCAAACACAGAAAAGGCAAAGGUGAAGAAAGGUGAAAUUUACAUGCACAAAGAUUGUUUUUUUUACCAGAAAUAUAAUGAUUUUCCUAAAAACCAUAGUGGUCAGAGUAGUUAAAAUGAAGACAUAUACAUAUAUGAAAAAACAAAAGCAUAUCUGCUUGACUGACUGACUGACUGAAGUGACCAAAUCUUAUAUCUGUUACCACACUAUUAUAUUGCUGCCCUCAAGGCCCCUCUUGCAGCUUCGCGUUUCAUCUCUGCAGCUUGACCACUCCCGCG